rnacentral:rRNA from 1 species
UGGGGGAUAUUGCACAAUGGGCGAAAGCCUGAUGCAGCGACGCCGCGUGGGGGAUGAAGGCCUUCGGGUUGUAAACUUCUUUUGCUCUGAACAAGGCGCACCAUGGGGUGUGUUGAGUGUAGGGGUUGAUUAGCGCCGGCUAACUACGUGCCAGCAGCCGCGGUAAUACGUAGGGCGCGAGCGUUGUCCGGAAUUAUUGGGCGUAAAGGGCUUGUAGGUGGCUGGUUGCGUCUGUCGUGAAAGCUCAUGGCUUAACUGUGGGUUUGCUGUGGGUACGAGCUGGCUUGAGUGCAGUGGGGGAGGCUGGAAUUCCUGGUGUAGCGGUGGAAUGCGCAGAUAUCAGGAGGAAUACCGGUGGCGAAGGCGGGUCUCUGGGCUGUUACUGACACUGAGGAGCGAAAGCAUGGGGGGCGAACAGG